rnacentral:rRNA from 1 species
UACGGAGGGUGCGAGCGUUGUCCGGAAUCACUGGGCGUAAAGGGCGCGUAGGCGGCAUGCCAAGCGUGUGGUGAAAGCCCGGGGCUCAACCCCGGGUCGGCCGUGCGGACUGGGCUCACUGGAGCAUAGUAGAGGCAGGUGGAAUUCCGGGUGUAGCGGUGGAAUGCGUAGAGAUCCGGAAGAACACCGGUGGCGAAGGCGGCCUGCUGGGCGUAUGGCUGACACUGAGGCGCGACAGCGUGGGGAGCAAACAGG